GAGGUCUCAAGCGUUGUUCGGAUUCAUUGGGCGUAAAGGGUGCGUAGGUGGCGUCGUAAGUCAGGUGUGAAAUCUCGGGGCUUAACUCCGAAACUGCAUUUGAUACUGCGGUGCUUAAGGACUGGAGAGGAGACUGGAAUUUACGGUGUAGCAGUGAAAUGCGUAGAGAUCGUAAGGAAGACCAGUGGCGAAGGCGGGUCUCUGGACAGUUCCUGACACUGAGGCACGAAGGCCAGGGGAGCAAACGGGAUUAGAUACCCCGGUAGUCCUGGCAGUAAACGGUGCACGUUUGGUGUGGGGGGAUUCGACCCCUUCUGCGCCGGAGCUAACGCGUUAAACGUGCCGCCUGGGGAGUACGGUCGCAAGAUUAAAACUCAAAGAAAUUGACGGGGGCCCGCACAAGCGGUGGAGUAUGUGGCUUAAUUCGAUGCAACGCGAAGAACCUUACCUGGCCUUGACAUGCAUCUUUAAACCGGUGAAAGCCGGCGAGUGUCGAAAGACACGAUUUGCACAGGUGGUGCAUGGCUGUGGUCAGCUCGUGUCGUGAGAUGUUGGGUUAAGUCCCGCAACGAGCGCAACCCCUGUGAACUGUUGCCACUGGGCCGCGAGGUCCAAGCAUUCUGUUCAGACUGCCCUGUGAAACGGGGAGGAAGGUGGGGAUGACGUCAAAUCGAAUUCCCGCGGCC
rnacentral:rRNA from 1 species